rnacentral:rRNA from 1 species
CUUGGUCAUUUAGAGGAAGUAAAAGUCGUAACAAGGUUUCCGUAGGUGAACCUGCGGAAGGAUCAUUAAUGAACCUUUGAGGGUUGAGCUGGUUUUACAAGUGCUUGCCCUCAUAUCCUUUAUACACCUGUGCAUCUUUCAAGGGAGAUUAGUAGAUCGCUUGCGAUUGAAGGUCUUCCCUUGCUUUACAUACCCUUUAUUUAUUUAACGAAUGUACAUAGCUUAAAUGCAAUGAAAUACAACUUUUAACAACGGAUCUCUUGGCUCUCGCAUCGAUGAAGAACGCAGCGAAAUGCGAUAAGUAAUGUGAAUUGCAGAAUUCAGUGAAUCAUCGAAUCUUUGGACGCACCUUGCGCUCCUUGGUAUUCCGAGGAGCACGCCUGUUCGAGUGUCAUGAAGCUCUCAAACAAGUCUUUUCUUUGCAAAAAGAAGAGGCGGGUUUGGAUUUGAACUCUGCCGUGUAACAAACGGCUGGUUCGAAAUGUAUUAGCUGAUCCUAGCAAAGCUUGGUUCUACUCGGCGUGAUAAUUAUCUAACGUUGAGGACAUUCUUCACAGAAUGGCCAAAAUUUGUUUCAUGGAUUGCUUCUAAUCGUCUUCACAGACAAACUAUUCAUCAAUCUGACCUCGAAUCAGGCGGGACUACCCGCUGAACUUAAGCAUAUCAAUAAGCGGAGGAAAAGAAACUAACAAGGAUUCCCCUAGUAACGGCGAGUGAAGCGGGAUGAGCUCAAAUUUAAAAUCUGGUGUCCUUCGGGCAUCCGAGUUGUAGUCUAGAGAAGCAUUUUCCGUGUCGGACCAUGUACAAGUCUCCUGGAACGGAGCGUCAUAGAGGGUGAGAAUCCCGUUCUUGACAUGGACCCCCGAUGCUAUGUGAUGUGCUCUCAAAGAGUCGAGUUGUUUGGGAUUGCAGCUCAAAAUGGGAGGUAAAUUCCUUCUAAAGCUAAAUAUUGGCGAGAGACCGAUAGCGAACAAGUACCGUGAGGGAAAGAUGAAAAGCACUUUGGAAAGAGAGUUAAACAGUACGUGAAAUUGUUAAAAGGGAAACGCUUGAAGU